UGUAAGCUUGGGGCAACAGCAUUU
rnacentral:piRNA from 1 species